rnacentral:misc_RNA from 1 species
UUUCAAGUCUAAGUACUAUGAAGUUGCUGCGAGCUUCAGAGGAAAUGAUAUUAUCUUUCUGAUUGGUGAUGUUGAUGCCAGUCAAGCCGCCUUUCAGUACUUUGGUCUUAAAGAAGACCAAGCACCUCUCAUCAUCAUACAAGAGCAAGAUGCCAAGAAAUACUUGAAAGAAAAAUUGGAACCUGAACAAAUUGCCGCAUGGGUUAAGGAGUAUACGGAAGGCAGCCUGACUUCGUUCAGAAAAUCAGAGCCGAUUCCUGAGGUCAACAAUGAGCCUGUCAAGGUGGUUGUGGCUGACAGCCUUCAUGAUGUGGUCAUCAACUCUAAGAAAAAUGUUCUGAUUGAAUUUUAUGCCCCUUGG